rnacentral:snRNA from 1 species
GUGCUCCUUUCAGUAGCACUAAAAUUUGAAUGACACAGAGAAAAUUAGCACAGCCCCUGCACAAUGAUGGCAUAAAAAUUUGUUAAGUGUUCCCUGUUUUU